CGGGGAGGGUCUUUGGAAACUGGAGAACUUGAGUGCAAAAAAGAAAAGCGGAUUUCCUCGUGUAGCGGUGAAAUGCGAAAAGAUGUGGAGGACCCCCAGUGGCGAAGGCGGUUUUUUGGUCUGUAACUGACGCUGAGGCGCGAAAGCGUGGGGAGCAAACAGGAUUAAAUACCCUGGUAGUCCACGCCGUAAACGAUGAGUGCUAAGUGUUAGAGGGUUUCCGCCCUUUAGUGCUGCAGCUAACGCAUUAAGCACUCCGCCUGGGGAGUACGGUCGCAAGACUGAAACUCAAAGGAAUUGACGGGGGCCCGCACAAGCGGUGGAGCAUGUGGUUUAAUUCGAAGCUACGCGAAGAACCUUACCAGGUCUUGACAUCCGCGGAGGACUCUAGAGAUAGAGCGUUCCCCUUCGGGGGACAGAGUGACAGGUGGUGCAUGGUUGUCGCCAGCUCGUGUCGUGAGAUGUUGGGUUAAGUCCCGCAACGAGCGCCACCCUUGAUCUUAGUUGCCAGCAUUUAGUUGGG
rnacentral:rRNA from 2 species